rnacentral:sRNA from 2 species
CUGAAUGAGCGCUAGGGUUCCGGGCCGGCUCCAUGCCGGCUGAAGACUGGUCCGAGAGCACUCGGUCGCGACAGCAGCAGCGGUGGCGGCUCCACGGAGGGACAAAAGCCCGGGAGGU